GAUGAACGCUGGCGGCGUGCCUAACACAUGCAAGUCGAACGGAGAUAUAAUGUGAGCGGAGAGUGCUUGCACUUAACAAUCUUUUUAUAUCUUAGUGGCGGACGGGUGAGUAACGCGUGGGUAACCUGCCAUACACAGGGGGAUAACACUUAGAAAUAGGUGCUAAUACCGCAUAAGCACACAGCUUCGCCUGAAGCAGUGUGAAAAGCGCAAACGGUGUAUGAUGCACCCGCGUCUGAUUAGCUAGUUGGUAAGGUAAUGGCUUACCAAGGCGACGAUCAGUAGCCGGCCUGAGAGGGUGACCGGCCACAUUGGGACUGAGACACGGCCCAAACUCCUACGGGAGGCAGCAGUGGGGAAUAUUGCACAAUGGGGGAAACCCUGAUGCAGCGACGCCGCGUGAGUGAAGAAGUAUUUCGGUAUGUAAAGCUCUAUCAGCAGGGAAGAAAAUGACGUACCUGACUAAGAGCCCCGG
rnacentral:rRNA from 1 species